ensembl:lncRNA
CAGCCGUCUAUUAGGAAUAGUAGUGAAAUUUGAGAACCUCUCUUCUUUUGUCUCCAGCUGUACUGCACUUCACCCUCUUCUCCUCCUGUGAAACGCUCUUCUUUCCUAUCCUGUUUAGCUAUUUCACCCUUCUUUUAUCUGUCUUUAUCUCUCACUUUCUCUCUUAAAUUGCCUGUCUGUGCACCCUGUGUGUGUGAGUGUCCCCUUGCGUCCUGUGUCUGUGUUUCUGUUUGGCGCACUUGCUCUGUGCACAGCCUCAUUGCUUCCUUUAUGAGGAGGUGAGGUGGCAUAGAGCAGUUUGCUGACUCCCGGUGAAAUUGGGGAAGAGGCACACCAACCGACUCAUCAUUGUUAUUCCACACACACCUUCCAUGUUAAAAUGGUAAGAGUCAGAAUGUAGUGUGCUAGAAUGGGUUUUUGUCAGGAAUGAAAGCAUGCGGAGGAAUAAACCAUGGGGAAAGGAGUGAAUAUGCAAGGCUUGAACCUUGGCAAAAUACACAACCAAUAGCAGUAGGAAAUAGCAGUGGAGUCAAUCAAACAGAAGGCUUUUCAGGUAAAAGGAGUGAAGGCGAACGCAACGCUGUUUUGAUGUGUUAACCUGGAGCAUGCCCACUGUUCACCGCAGCUGCGGCAGCAUCAGAAUCAGCAUCAGCAGUCUCAGUGUUGCACGUGUUUAAACAUUAGGAUUAGAGAUGAAAAACAGAAAUCCCUUUAGAGCGGACCCAGGGGAGGUCAUCUGGGCUUUGGCUCGGCUGCCAUCAACACACUGCUCUCCCCAGAUACCAGCAACAGGACUGUCACAUGACCCUCAGCUACCAAUCAAAAUGAUAAGAGAUAUAGGAAGACAGACAGACCCUAAGGGAGUGAUACUUUGCUUUCUGGCACGGUAAUGAUAUAUCCAAGCCUAGCAUGACGAAAAUAUUUUUAUUCCUACAGUGAAUUGGAUUCGAAGACAUUUGAGUGUCUCACACAGUGUGAGAUUCCCAGUGACCAUCUAUAUUCAAGCUAGACAGAGGUUCUGCUCAAGCCUGGCCCUGUUUGUCAGUGACAUUUCCGCAUGCUGUAUGCCUGACCCUUUACACGCUAGUGGGUGGCAGGGAGGUUGACGUAGUCCAAUAUUUGGCUGCCUUAAGUGGCACUGAAGGCCAACUUAGGCUUCCUUAAUGUCACUGAGUGAUUUAUGGGAGCAAAAUGUCCACUGGAAUGCAGAGAUUUUGGACACAUGGGCAUGGUGUGGCAGAGGCUGUAAUAUUAAUGCACGGAAAAGGAAACAUGUGGAAUGUGUGUUGGAGGAAACAUGUAUAAUUAAUGAAACCUUAUUUUAAAUGUGGAAAGGAUGUCCCAGGAAGAAUGUACUGGAAGAAUCACUUUAGAGUACAGAUAUAGAGUGCUACAUGCUUUCUGAAUGUACCUGGAAAUCACACCUUUAGCAAACUGACAGAAGACACUGUUUCCAAAAAGAGCAGCACAACCUUAAAUGCUAUGUUAAGGAAGAUGUGUUUUUUUCUACCAACCGUGACUUUAGCAUUAUAACCUCAAGUAUUUUUUUCGAAAUUUUACUCUAGAGUGGGUUCAGUAUGUACACUCCCGUUACAUCACUUAUGGUAAUUGGGUACUUAUGCCUGGAUUGAUGUAUCUGUCAGGGUCUAAAGGGGGAAAUGGACAGCAAUAACCCACAAAAGUACAUGGCUUUAAUGUUGCAGUGAGUAACAAAUGUUCUACAUUAAAUAUUCUACAACAUUUUUGUAAAUAAUUUUCUUAAAUAACAAAAAACAAUACCAAAUCACCAUGUGUAAUACGAUUUCACAUAAUCAUUAACUACUGAAAACUAUACAGUAACAUUUCACUAAUUACUAAUCAGUUUCAUUGUGUUUCACUUUAAAGAAUUUUUCCAGAGCUUUAUUAACUACUGAAGAACAACACAGUAACACUCCAGUUAUUGCUAAUGAGCAUCAAUUUAUUGUUUAAACUCAUAUCCACACACUUAAAAUACAUGCAAACAACAUUCUUAAAUGAUUCAUACAACUUGGAGAUGUACUGUAUUGCACAAAACAGGAGUAGCAAAUUCAUUUUAAUGUUCAUCCUAAUUACUUAAAACAAUGACAACAACAACAACAACAACAACAACAAC